GCUUACGGCCAUACCACCCUGGCACGCCCGAUCUCGUCUGAUCUCGGAAGCUAAGCAGGGUCGGGCCUGGUUAGUACUUGGAUGGGUGACCGCCUGGGAAUACCAGGUGCUGUAAGCA
rnacentral:rRNA from 1 species